AGUUUUACCGGAAACAAAGUAAUGAAAAGAGAUGCGGUGGGGUGUGGCGGGGCCUGCCCCCUGCCGGAAGAAGUUUGGGUGCAGCCCAGUAUUCAAGCUCCAGGACAAAGGGGGCGGGGAGGCCGCCACUAGCAAACAACCUCAGCUUCAUAAAUCCAGCAGAAAGGUCCGGGGUAUUGUUGAAAAGGUCGGAAGGACCAAGAUUAUGUCCGCCAGCCUAAGUGGGACGAACAACCAAGUUGUGCGAUGCAGCUUUAAAGGGGCUGGUGAUUGACAGAAUGGUGUAGUAGUAGAUGGGGUGGAGCCGCUGGGUGGGGUCGAGACUGGCAGCUGAGAGAUACCAAAAGGAAGAAAAAAGAAAACCAUUGCUCUUGAUAUUGCUAAUGCCGGGGGAGGUAAGCUAACGAGAAAGUAGGGAAAAGGAAGGUUUUAGAGUUCACCUCCACUCCUUCCCCUGGCUAACACUCUUUACACUCUUCUGCCUUCCCUUGAGAUAAUUAAAAUAGACUGUACACCGGCCCUAGUCGGUGCCCAUUCCCCCUAACUCUUCACUCAACUACGUGUGUAGUCCGAGGGAGUGAGGACCCCGGGUCCAAGAGCUCAAUCCCGGCCCCGCCCCGUCGGCCCAGGCCCCGGGGCUGGGAGGAGAGGAUGCCUUCGGAGGCGCAGAAUCCGAAAAGAUGUGGUUGGAGCUGGAAGCUGUUAUCCUCAGCAAACUAAUGCAGGAGGAGAAAACCAAAUACUGCAAGUUCUCACUUAUAAGUGGGAACUGAAUGAUGAGAACAUUUGGACAUGGUAAGGGGAGGACAACAUGCAGUGGGGCCUGUUGGGGAGUAUGGCAGGAGGGAAAGCAUCAGGAAAUUCACUAAUAGAUGCUGGGCUUAAUAACUUGAUGAUGGGAUGAUCUGUGCAGCAAACCACCAUGGCACAUGUUUACUAAUGUAACAAACCUGCACAUUCAGCACAUGUACCCCUGAACUUAAAAUAAAGCAAAAUAAAAAUAAAAA
rnacentral:lncRNA from 10 species